rnacentral:rRNA from 1 species
GACGAACGCUGGCGGCGCGCUUAACACAUGCAAGUCGAGCGAGAACCGAUCCUUCGGGGUCGGGGAAAGCGGCGAACGGGUGAGUAACACGUGAGUAAUCCACCCUCGGCACCGGGAUAGCCCGGGGAAACCCGGAUUAAUACCGGAUGGCCCAGCAGCUCUUCGGGGCGGCUGGAAAAGGUAGCUUCGGCCUCCGGCCGAGGACGAGCUCGCGGCGGAUUAGCUUGUUGGUGGGGUAAUGGCCCACCAAGGCGACGAUCCGUAGCUGGUCUGAGAGGACGAUCGGCCACACUGGGACUGAGACACGGCCCAGACUCCUACGGGAGGCAGCAGUGGGGAAUCUUGCGCAAUGGGCGAAAGCCUGACGCAGCGACGCCGCGUGAGGGAAGAAGGCUUUCGGGUUGUAAACCUCUUUCAGGAGGGACGAAGCUACUCGGGUUAACAGCCCAGAGGGUGACGGUACCUCCAGAAGAAGCCCCGGCUAACUACGUGCCAGCAGCCGCCGUAA